rnacentral:rRNA from 1 species
CGAACGCUAGCGGAUGGCUUAACACAUGCAAGUCGAGGCGGGCAGCUUCGGCUGUCUAGCGGCGAACGGGUGACGUAACACGGUGGGUAAUCUGCCUUCGUGGGUGGGGACUAACCCGACGAAAGUCGGGCUAAUACCGCAUAUGGCCUACGGGUCAAAGCAGCAAUGCGCCAGUUGAUGAGCCCGCGGCCCAUUAUUUAAUCCUAGUUGGCGGGGUAACGGCCCACCAAGGGUACGAUGGGUAGCUGGUCUGAGAGGACGAUCAGCCACACUGGGACUGAGACACGGCCCAGACUCCUACGGGAGGCAGCAGUGGGGAAUAUUGCGCAAUGGGCGAAAGCCUGACGCAGCCAAUCCGCGUGGGUGAUGAAGGCCUUCGGGUUGUAAAGCCCUGUCGUGAGGGACGAAGUUCUGACGGUACCUCACAAGAAAGCACCGGCUAACCCCGUG